GACGAACGCUGGCGGCGUGCUUAACACAUGCAAGUCGAACGGAGAGGCUCCAGCUUUGUGGCGUGGAUGAGUGGCGAACGGGUGAGUAACACGUGAGCAACCUGCCCCUGACUCUGGGAUAAGCGCUGGAAACGGCGUCUAAUACUGGAUACGAGAAGGGUCCGCAUGGGCACUUUCUGAAAAGUUCUUCGGUUGGGGAUGGGCUCGCGGCCUAUCAGCUUGUUGGUGAGGUAGUGGCUCACCAAGGCGACGACGGGUAGCCGGCCUGAGAGGGCGACCGGCCACACUGGGCCUGGGACACGGCCCGUACUGCUACGGGCGGAAGCGGUGGGGAAUAUUCCGAAAUGGGCGAAGGCCUGAUGCAGCGACGCCGCGUGGGGGAUGACGGCCUUCGGGUUGUAAACCUCUUUCAGCAGGGAAGAAGCGAAAUGGCCGUUACCAGCAGAAGAAGCACCGCCUACCUCCUU
rnacentral:rRNA from 1 species